rnacentral:rRNA from 1 species
GGAGUGAAGCGGCAAAAGCUCAAAUUUGAAACCCUCGGGAUUGUAAUUUGAAGAUUUGGCAUUGGAGAAAGCUAACCCAAGUUGCUUGGAAUAGUACGUCAUAGAGGGUGACAACCCCGUCUGGCUAACCGUUCUCCAUGUAUUGCCUUAUCAAAGAGUCGAGUUGUUUGGGAAUGCAGCUCAAAGUGGGUGGUAAACUCCAUCUAAAGCUAAAUACUGGUGAGAGACCGAUAGCGAACAAGUACUGUGAAGGAAAGGUGAAAAGAACUUUGAAAAGAGAGUGAAAUAGUAUGUGAAAUUGUUGAUAGGGAAGGAAAUGAGUGGAGAGUGGCCGAGGUUUCAGCCGCCCCUCGUGGGCGGUGUACUGCCGACGCCGAGUCAUCGAUAGCGAGACGAGGGUUACAAAUGGGAGCGCCUUUCGGGCGUUCUCCCCUAACCCUCCACACUGCCACCGACGACAUAAUCCACCCAUUUCACCCGUCUUGAAACACGGACCA